rnacentral:rRNA from 1 species
UACGUAGGGUGCAAGCGUUAAUCGGAAUUACUGGGCGUAAAGCGUGCGCAGGCGGUUCUAUAAGACAGAUGUGAAAUCCCCGGGCUCAACCUGGGAGCUGCAUUUGUGACUGUAGAGCUGGAGUACGGCAGAGGGGGAUGGAAUUCCGCGUGUAGCAGUGAAAUGCGUAGAUAUGCGGAGGAACACCGAUGGCGAAGGCAAUCCCCUGGGCCUGUACUGACGCUCAUGCACGAAAGCGUGGGGAGCAAACAGG